AGUGGCGAACGGGUGAGUAACACGUGAGUAACCUGCCCUUGACUCUGGGAUAAGCCUGGGAAACCGGGUCUAAUACUGGAUAUGACCUUCUGGCGCAUGCCAUGUUGGUGGAAAGCUUUUGUGGUUUUGGAUGGACUCGCGGCCUAUCAGCUUGUUGGUGGGGUAAUGGCUUACCAAGGCGACGACGGGUAGCCGGCCUGAGAGGGUGACCGGCCACACUGGGACUGAGACACGGCCCAGACUCCUACGGGAGGCAGCAGUGGGGAAUAUUGCACAAUGGGCGCAAGCCUGAUGCAGCGACGCCGCGUGAGGGAUGAAGGCCUUCGGGUUGUAAACCUCUUUCAGUAGGGAAGAAGCUGGUCCUUUUGGGGGUUGGUGACGGUACCUGCAGAAGAAGCGCCGGCUAACUACGUGCCAGCAGCCGCGGUAAUACGUAGGGCGCAAGCGUUAUCCGGAAUUAUUGGGCGUAAAGAGCUCGUAGGCGGUUUGUCGCGUCUGCCGUGAAAGUCCGGGGCUUAACUCCGGAUCUGCGGUGGGUACGGGCAGACUAGAGUGCAGUAGGGGAGACUGGAAUUCCUGGUGUAGCGGUGAAAUGCGCAGAUAUCAGGAGGAACACCGAUGGCGAAGGCAGGUCUCUGGGCUGUAACUGACGCUGAGGAGCGAAAGCAUGGGGAGCGAACAGGAUUAGAUACCCUGGUAGUCCAUGCCGUAAACGUUGGGCACUAGGUGUGGGGGACAUUCCACGUUUUCCGCGCCGUAGCUAACGCAUUAAGUGCCCCGCCUGGGGGAGUACGGCCGCAAGGCUAAAACUCAAAGGAAUUGACGGGGGGCCCGCACAAGCGGCGGGAGCAUGCCGGAUUAAUUCCGAUGCAACGCGAAAGAACCUUAACCAAGGCUUUG
rnacentral:rRNA from 1 species